UGGGCCUGGUUCAGGCCCAUUUCAGGCCUCUAUACAUGCACAGAGGCAUAAAUUGGGCCAGAACUGGACCUGGACUGCCUGCUGCAGGGGGGGUGGGGGCGCUGCCACCCCCAACAACCCCAAAUCACCCCGAGACUGCUGCAGUCACUGGCAGUGGCAAACUGAAGUACAGGAGCUAUGGAACUGCUGAAUUAUAAGAAGCUGGAGAACUUGAAAGAAGUGUCAUUUUGGUUGCUCAUCAACCUCCUCUCAUUUCCUACCAUACCCACAGGCUAACAUGGUGGCGGGGGGGGCACUUCAAAGUAACACUUGAGUGCCUUAUUCAGCUGCGAGCGACAGCACACCACGCAAAAGUUUUCAUUUCUUGCUGUUCGCACAAGGCAGAUCCCUUCUGAGACUUGACUGCAACUUUGAUCUUGACAGCAAGAAGUUUUUCACUUCACAACAGGAGCAGGAUGGAACAAAAGGAGGAAAAAACACAACACUGCAGUGUCUGAUAACCUUGAAAUUAAAAUUUGAGAAGAAAGAAGUCAUGCAAAUAAAACUCUCGCCCUAUUGUCCCUGCUCCUCAUGAUCAAUACACAGUAUCUCUGCAGAUCUAAUUAGUAGGCACUAGAAAGGGCCUUCCUCAUUAAUCAACUAUUUAGCGAUUUCCUAUUAAAA